rnacentral:rRNA from 1 species
UGGGAACCUUCCCUAUGGUUCGGAAUAGCUCAGGGAAACUUGAGGUAAUACCGGAUAAGCCCUUCGGGGAAAGAUUUAUCGCCAUUGGAUGGGCCCGCGUCGGAUUAGCUAGUUGGUGAGGUAACGGCUCACCAAGGCAACGAUCCGUAGCCGGUCUGAGAGGAUGAUCAACCACACUGGGACUGAGACACGGCCCAGACUCCUACGGGAGGCAG